UAAUCGGGGUGUGGUGAUUUGGCCGGCCGGCUUGCAGCCACGUAAAACAAGUCGCUAAAAGGCCGCGGACUUCGACCC
rnacentral:ncRNA from 1 species